rnacentral:misc_RNA from 1 species
GAUGAAGAACGUAGCAAAAUGCGAUAAGUAGUGUGAAUUGCAGAAUUCAGUGAAUCAUCGAAUCUUUGAACGCACAUUGCGCCCGCCAGCACUCUGGCGGGCAUGCCUGUUCGAGCGUCAUUUCAACCAUCAAGCCCCAGGCUUGCGUUGGAGCCCUGCGGCUGCCGCAGCCUCCUAAAAGCAGUGGCGGGCUCGCUAUCACACCGAGUGCAGUAGAUUACUCUUCGCUCAGGGCGUGCAGCGGGUUCCGGCCGUGAAACCCCCUACUUUUAAAGGUUGACCUCGGAUCAGGUAGGAAUACCCGCUGAACUUAAGCAUAUCAAUAAGCGGAGGA